rnacentral:rRNA from 1 species
CUGCUAGUGUUGGUAUUGAUUCUGCCAGUAGCUACUGCUAGUGUUGAAAGGGUAUUCUCUUCAAUGAACUAUGUGAAGAAUAAGCUAAGGAACAAAAUGGGUGAUGAUUAUUUGAACAAUUGUUUGGUUACAUUUGUUGAGAGGGAAUUUUUCAAUCAAGUGAAGGAUGAAGAUGUCAUCAAUUUGUUCCAAAAAGGCGACCACAAAGUUAUAUUGUAA